ensembl:snRNA U1 U1 spliceosomal RNA
AUACUAACUGAGCUGGAGAGAUAUCCUGAUCACAAAAGUGAUUUUUUGUAGGGUACGGUUUAUCGGUAGCACUCGAGAUGUGCUGAUUCCUGCGAUUUCCCCGAAUAUGGGAAACUCGGCUGCAUAAUUUGUGGUCGUGGGGCGUUGCGUUCGCGCUUUCCCGAG